GUGUGUGUGUGUGUGUGUGUGUGUGUGUGUGUGUGUGUGUGUGUGUGCAUGCUUGCUCUCUGCUUCACUCAGACAGGCUCAGAAAAAGAGACUCUCCACACCUUUCUGUCUAGCCCUGUCAAAAGAUCAGGUGUGAAUAAAUGUGAGCCGUCUUUGUGCCGGGAAUGAGACCUUCAUGCUACGAACUUCCAUAGAACAAGGUUUUCAUACAAAAUCUAAUCUCUUGAUCUAUUAUUUAGACACGUGGAAAAACGAGCUCGUGUUAUUGACAGAUUUAUGAUAUCAGAGACGUGUGUAUAUUUUUAGUCUUUAAUAUGUAAUCAAUUAUGUACAAAGAAAGAUUUGCAAAGUUACGUAGAAUCGUACGUAUAUCCCAAUAAACUGUCAGAAAUGUUAUACUGUACAGUCUUAUUUUUAUGGUUAAUUGUCCAGUGUGAUUAAAUGUGAUGUUUUUAGUUUUAGGUGAUAACUUUCCAAAAUCAAACAUUCCUCCCAUCAAUCCAUCCAUCCAUCCUAUUUCAUUCCACUGAACUUUAUUUAUAUAGCACGUUGAUAUUUAGAUCCUUAGAUCCUUUCCUCUAUCCGUAUAUCUAUCCAUUCAUCCAGCCUAUCUUCAUUCUUAUCCUCCAUCCAUCCACCCUAUCUUCAUUCCUACCCACAUCCAUCCACCCUAUCUUCAUUUCUAUCCUCCCAACCAUAUACCCUAUCUACAUUCCUAUACUCCAUCCAUCCACCCUAUCUUCAUUCCUAUCCUCCAUCCAUCCACCCUAUCUUCAUUCCUAUCCUCCAUCCAUCCACUCUAUCUUCAUUCCUUUACUUCAUCCAUCCUUAAAUUAUUACCUCAUGAAAUCUACUCAUCCUUCCAACCCUAUCUUCUACCUGUUUCAUCUUCUUCUAUUCAUCCUUCCUUUUACUCCACAUAAUUUCCUAAUUUCUCAUUUCUAUCUAUUCAUCUCUUCCCCUUCCUGAUUUUGAUACAUCCAUCCAUACAAUCUUACAUAAAACCAGCCUUCCAUUUUUCCUUUAUUUUUACCUAUCCAUUCAUCCUGUUCCCCUCGUUCUGUCCAUCUAUUCAUCCUUUCAUCCAUAAAUACCUUUUCUCCCUUACUCCAUUCUAUUCAUUCACCCUACUUCUCAUCCAUUCAUCUAUCAACCCAUCCAUCGAUUCUUCCUCCCUUCCAUCUAUUCACCAUUCCCUCCAUCUACCCAUUUACUCCCAUUCCAUCCUAUUGUCCUUCCAUUCAUCCAUUCUUUCCGUCCCUUAUUCCUUCUAUCCAUCUGCUCUUCCCUCCAUCUAUCCACAUCCUCAUAUGACUGCUUAAUGGCAGUUUGAUCAUCAUAAUUCAAUUUUGUGAUACAAAUCAGGAUACUGGUUACGUAGUUGCUGGCUCUCUCGCGCGCUCUCUCUCUCUCUCUCUUUCUCUCUCUCUCUCUGUCUCUCUCUCUCUCUCUCUCUCUCUCUCGCACUCCAUGCCUAGAAUAGAGCAUCAUAGCGUAGUCCAAAGAUUAGCCUCAUUUAUCUGUGUCAGGCCUCAUCAGUCCACUUCCUGCUGCUCAUUCAACCUGCCUCUCCAUCCGAGUGCUGCUUCUACACACUCACUACUGUGGACUCUCUGCAUGAUAUUUACCAACAAACAUUGUUUAUCACUGCCAGAAUUAGAGCUUCAACUCCAUAACAACAUUAUUUUUGGAGCACUUACAUGGUUAAGAAACAUCUAAAUCAUACAAGAAAUAAACAUUAAUUAAGCAGAUGCCUAACCAAAGUAAGUGGUAUGGCCUGAGAUCACAGAACUUCAGAAAUGUGUGAAUGCUAAUUUUUUUUUUUGGUACCUUUGGCUAGGCAACACACCCUUGUUUGGAAAGGCUGAUGGAAAAGGAAGAAACUCCCCAGAGAUGUGGAAGGCAGGAAUGCUGCUCUGGCUGCCUCUUCUAUAUGCUCUCAGGGAAGACUUCAGAGAGAUGACACGUGGAGAACAGCAGAGAUUCCAAAUUGAAAGCACAGAUGGAAC
ensembl:lncRNA